rnacentral:rRNA from 1 species
AUACGUAGGGUGCGAGCGUUAAUCGGAAGUUACUGGGCGUAAAGCGUGCGCAGGCGGUUUUGUAAGACAGAGGUGAAAUCCCCGGGCUCAACCUGGGAACUGCCUUUGUGACUGCAAGGCUGGAGUGCGGCAGAGGGGGAUGGAAUUCCGCGUGUAGCAGUGAAAUGCGUAGAUAUGCGGAGGAACACCGAUGGCGAAGGCAAUCCCCUGGGCCUGCACUGACGCUCAUGCACGAAAGCGUGGGGAGC